rnacentral:rRNA from 1 species
GAUGAACGCUGGCGGCGUGCCUAAUACAUGCAAGUCGAGCGAACGGACGAGAAGCUUGCUUCUCUGAUGUUAGCGGCGGACGGGUGAGUAACACGUGGAUAACCUACCUAUAAGACUGGGAUAACUUCGGGAAACCGGAGCUAAUACCGGAUAAUAUUUUGAACCGCAUGGUUCAAAAGUGAAAGACGGUCUUGCUGUCACUUAUAGAUGGAUCCGCGCUGCAUUAGCUAGUUGGUAAGGUAACGGCUUACCAAGGCAACGAUGCAUAGCCGACCUGAGAGGGUGAUCGGCCACACUGGAACUGAGACACGGUCCAGACUCCUACGGGAGGCAGCAGUAGGGAAUCUUCCGCAAUGGGCGAAAGCCUGACGGAGCAACGCCGCGUGAGUGAUGAAGGUCUUCGGAUCGUAAAACUCUGUUAUUAGGGAAGAACAUAUGUGUAAGUAACUGUGCACAUCUUGACGGUACCUAAUCAGAAAGCCACGGCUAACUACGUGCCAGCAGCCGCGGUAAUACGUAGGUGGCAAGCGUUAUCCGGAAUUAUUGGGCGUAAAGCGCGCGUAGGCGGUUUUUUAAGUCUGAUGUGAAAGCCCACGGCUCAACCGUGGAGGGUCAUUGGAAACUGGAAAACUUGAGUGCAGAAGAGGAAAGUGGAAUUCCAUGUGUAGCGGUGAAAUGCGCAGAGAUAUGGAGGAACACCAGUGGCGAAGGCGACUUUCUGGUCUGUAACUGGCGCUGAUGUGCGAAAGCGUGGGGAUCAAACAGGAUUAGAUACCCUGGUAGUCCACGCCGUAAACGAUGAGUGCUAAGUGUUAGGGGGUUUCCGCCCCUUAGUGCUGCAGCUAACGCAUUAAGCACUCCGCCUGGGGAGUACGACCGCAAGGUUGAAACUCAAAGGAAUUGACGGGGACCCGCACAAGCGGUGGAGCAUGUGGUUUAAUUCGAAGCAACGCGAAGAACCUUACCAAAUCUUGACAUCCUUUGACAACUCUAGAGAUAGAGCCUUCCCCUUCGGGGGACAAAGUGACAGGUGGUGCAUGGUUGUCGUCAGCUCGUGUCGUGAGAUGUUGGGUUAAGUCCCGCAACGAGCGCAACCCUUAAGCUUAGUUGCCAUCAUUAAGUUGGGCACUCUAAGUUGACUGCCGGUGACAAACCGGAGGAAGGUGGGGAUGACGUCAAAUCAUCAUGCCCCUUAUGAUUUGGGCUACACACGUGCUACAAUGGACAAUACAAAGGGCAGCGAAACCGCGAGGUCAAGCAAAUCCCAUAAAGUUGUUCUCAGUUCGGAUUGUAGUCUGCAACUCGACUACAUGAAGCUGGAAUCGCUAGUAAUCGUAGAUCAGCAUGCUACGGUGAAUACGUUCCCGGGUCU